rnacentral:rRNA from 1 species
AUUGAACGCUGGCGGCAUGCUUUACACAUGCAAGUCGAACGGUAACAGGCCUUCGGGUGCUGACGAGUGGCGAACGGGUGAGUAAUGCAUCGGAACGUACCCAGAGGUGGGGGAUAACGCAGCGAAAGCUGUGCUAAUACUGCAUGUGAUCUGAGGAUGAAAGCGGGGGACCGAGCAGCAAUGUUUGGCCUCGCGCCUUUGGAGCGGCCGAUGUCGGAUUAGCUAGUUGGUGGGGUAAAGGCCUACCAAGGCGACGAUCCGUGGCUGGUCUGAGAGGACGACCAGCCACACUGGGACUGAGACACGGCCCAGACUCCUACGGGAGGCAGCAGUGGGGAAUUUUGGACAAUGGGCGCAAGCCUGAUCCAGCAAUGCCGCGUGCGGGAAGAAGGCCUUCGGGUUGUAAACCGCUUUUGGCAGGAACGAAACGGUGUCCGCUAAUACCGGGCGCUAAUGACGGUACCUGCAGAAUAAGCACCGGCUAACUACGUG